rnacentral:rRNA from 1 species
AGAGUUUGAUCCUGGCUCAGGACGAACGCUGGCGGCACGCUUAACACAUGCAAGUCGAACGAGAGAAGAGGAGCUUGCUUUUCUGAUCUAGUGGCGGACGGGUGAGUAACACGUGAGCAAUCUGCCUUUCAGAGGGGGAUACCGAUUGGAAACGAUCGUUAAUACCGCAUAACAUAAUUGAACCGCAUGAUUUGAUUAUCAAAGAUUUAUCGCUGAAAGAUGAGCUCGCGUCUGAUUAGCUAGUUGGUAAGGUAACGGCUUACCAAGGCGACGAUCAGUAGCCGGACUGAGAGGUUGAUCGGCCACAUUGGGACUGAGACACGGCCCAGACUCCUACGGGAGGCAGCAGUGGGGAAUAUUGCACAAUGGAGGAAACUCUGAUGCAGCGAUGCCGCGUGAGGGAAGAAGGUUUUAGGAUUGUAAACCUCUGUCUUCAGGGACGAAAAAAGACGGUACCUGAGGAGGAAGCUCCGGCUAACUACGUGCCAGCAGCCGCGGUAAUACGUAGGGAGCGAGCGUUGUCCGGAAUUACUGGGUGUAAAGGGAGCGUAGGCGGGAUCGCAAGUCAGAUGUGAAAACUAUGGGCUUAACCCAUAAACUGCAUUUGAAACUGUGGUUCUUGAGUGAAGUAGAGGUAAGCGGAAUUCCUAGUGUAGCGGUGAAAUGCGUAGAUAUUAGGAGGAACAUCAGUGGCGAAGGCGGCUUACUGGGCUUUAACUGACGCUGAGGCUCGAAAGCGUGGGGAGCAAACAGGAUUAGAUACCCUGGUAGUCCACGCCGUAAACGAUGAUUACUAGGUGUGGGGGGACUGACCCCUUCCGUGCCGCAGCAAACGCAAUAAGUAAUCCACCUGGGGAGUACGACCGCAAGGUUGAAACUCAAAGGAAUUGACGGGGGCCCGCACAAGCAGUGGAGUAUGUGGAUUAAUUCGAAGCAACGCGAAGAACCUUACCAGGUCUUGACAUCGUAUGCAUAGCUCAGAGAUGAGUGAAAUCUCUUCGGAGACAUAUAGACAGGUGGUGCAUGGUUGUCGUCAGCUCGUGUCGUGAGAUGUUGGGUUAAGUCCCGCAACGAGCGCAACCCUUACUGUUAGUUGCUACGCAAGAGCACUCUAGCAGGACUGCCGUUUACAAAACGGAGGAAGGUGGGGAUGACGUCAAAUCAUCAUGCCCCUUAUGACCUGGGCCUCACACGUACUACAAUGGCUGUCAACAGAGGGAAGCAAAGCCGCGAGGUGGAGCGAACCCCUAAAAGCAGUCUUAGUUCGGAUUGUAGGCUGCAACCCGCCUACAUGAAGUCGGAAUUGCUAGUAAUCGCAGAUCAGCAUGCUGCGGUGAAUACGUUCCCGGGCCUUGUACACACCGCCCGUCACGCCAUGGGAGUCGGUAACACCCGAAGCCUGUAGUCUAACCGCAAGGAGGACGCAGUCGAAGGUGGGAUUGAUGACUGGGGUGAAGUCGUAACAAGGUA